AGUGAACGCUGGCGGCGUGCCUAACACAUGCAAGUCGAACGAGAACGGAUAUUAGUUUACUAAUAUUGUCAGCUAAGUGGCGCACGGGUGAGUAAUAUAUAGUUAAUCUGCCCCAAAGAAGAGAAUAAUUGUUGGAAACGACUUGUAAUGCUCUAUAUGCCUUUAUUACAUAAGUAAGCAAGGGAAAUAUUUAUAGCUUUGGGAUGAGACUGUACGGUAUCAGAUAGUUGGUGAGGUAAUGGCUCACCAAGUCAAUGACGCCUAACUGGUUUGAGAGGAUGAUCAGUCACACUGGAACUGAGACACGGUCCAGACUCCUACGGGAGGCAGCAGUGGGGAAUAUUGCACAAUGGAGGGAACUCUGAUGCAGCAACGCCGCGUGGAGGAUGACACAUUUCGGUGCGUAAACUCCUUUUAUUAGGGAAGAUAAUGACGGUACCUAAUGAAUAAGCACCGGCUAACUCCGUGCCAGCAGCCGCGGUAAUACGGGGGGUGCAAGCGUUACUCGGAAUCACUGGGCGUAAAGAGCAUGUAGGCUGGUUUGUAAGUUGGAAGUGAAAUCCUAUGGCUUAACCAUAGAACUGCUUCCAAAACUGCAGACCUAGAGUAUGGGAGAGGUAGAUGGAAUUUCUGGUGUAGGGGUAAAAUCCGUAGAGAUCAGAAGGAAUACCGAUUGCGAAGGCGAUCUACUGGAACAUAACUGACGCUGAGAUGCGAAAGCGUGGGGAGCAAACAGG
rnacentral:rRNA from 1 species